rnacentral:tRNA from 1 species
GGAGAGGUGGCUGAGUGGCCUAAAGCGUCCUCCUGCUAAGAGGAAACGGGUAGUUUACCCGUCACAGGUUCAAAUCCUGUUCUCUCCG